UACGGGGGGGGCAAGCGUUGUUCGGAAUUACUGGGCGUAAAGGGCUCGUAGGCGGCCAACUAAGUCAGACGUGAAAUCCCUCGGCUUAACCGGGGAACUGCGUCUGAUACUGGAUGGCUUGAGGUUGGGAGAGGGAUGCGGAAUUCCUGGUGUAGCGGUGAAAUGCGUAGAUAUCAGGAGGAACACCGGCGGUGUAGACGGCUUUCUGGACCAUUACUGACGCUGAGAUACGAAAGCGUGGGUAGCAAACAGG
rnacentral:rRNA from 1 species